rnacentral:sRNA from 1 species
UUAAUUGUGAUUAUUUUACCUAAGACAGUAGGAGUUAUUUAUAACUUAAAACUCAUCCUACCGAGGCUAAAAUUGACUUGAACGUGAUGAUUAAUGAUCUUUCAAGCACUUUUUGCCGUGGGUAGAAAGUGCUUUUUUUAUUGCUAU